rnacentral:sRNA from 1 species
AUCAUAUAUAUAAGAAGGGCUGAAAGAACACUUAACAGCAAACUCGAGGAAGUAUUUCUCUUGUCUCUCUUGAGGCACACAUGUCCAGCUGUAGAAGAGACCAUCAAA